CCUACGGGUGGCUGCAGUGAGGAAUAUUGGUCAAUGGGCGCGAGCCUGAACCAGCCAAGUCGCGUGAGUGAAGAAGUAUUUCGGUAUGUAAAGCUCUAUCAGCAGGGAAGAAAAUGACGGUACCUGACUAAGAAGCCCCGGCUAACUACGUGCCAGCAGCCGCGGUAAUACGUAGGGGGCAAGCGUUAUCCGGAUUUACUGGGUGGAAAGGGAGCGCAGACGGCUGUGCAAGUCUGGAGUGAAAGGCGGGGGCUCAACCCCCGGACUGUUCUGGAAACUGUAAAGCUGGAGUGCAGGAGAGGUAAGCGGAAUUCCUAGUGUAGCGGUGAAAUGCGUAGAUAUUAGGAGGAACACCAGUGGCGAAGGCGGCUUACUGGACUGCAACUGACGUUGAGGCUCGAAAGCGUGGGGAGCAAACAGGAUUAGAUACCCUUGUAGUC
rnacentral:rRNA from 1 species